AAAUAGUUUCAAUUAAAAGCAGGUCGGCUCAGAUUGGAUAUGUAUCUACAUAUUACCGUUGGUUUUCUUUUAUGAAAUUAAAGAACAUCUCUUAUAGUUUUCAAUCAAUUAAUUACAAAGUUAAUUUGGCUUUAUAUAAUACAUAAUUUUUUAUGUUCCUAUAUAUAGAAGAGGACUAACUAAUGCCAACUUCACAAAUAAGAGCUAAAAUGAAAACAAUAAUCCACAAGUCGAUGAUCGCCGGAGUACAGAGCGUCAUGCCGGUGGAAGUGACGCAACAACGUGAAGUCCGUUCCAUAUCAGUCGAAGAUCCCGUCGGAGCAGGAAUAUUCCGGCGAACACUAAACAUAGUUACGUACUACAAACAAGCAGGUGAUAGUGGCGAGAGAGGGUGGUUAGUCGCCGGUUGGAUAAAGGAGUCGUUAGGGAGAGCCUUGACCGAGCAGCCGUUGCUUUGUGGUAGACUGCGGCGGAGGAGGACGACGAAGGGAGAGGAAGAUGGUCUGGAGGUGGUGACCAACGAUAGUGGCGCUAGGCUGGUAGAGGCUAGGUUUCCGGCAAGUUUGCCGGAGUUUUUUGAAAUGGUGAAGAGAGACAAAAACAGAGCUGAAGCAGAGACUGUCUUCUGGAGAGACAUUGAUGAAGUUGAUCCUCAGUUCUCUCCAUUGUUCUAUGUUCAGGUGACUAAUUUUGAGAGUGGUGGAUACUCCAUUGGGAUAAGCUGCAGCAUCCUAAUAGCUGAUCUCCUCAUUGAGACAGAUUUCUUGAAAAAAUGGGCUAAAAUCCAAAGCUCUUUGGCUCAUUCUCAGACCACACUCAAACCAAUCUUCUACCUCCCACCAGUCAAAAGAGAUAAAUUCAUCAAUGAACUUCCUAGGCCAGUCUCGGUUCUUGACCGCGGUGGACCCCUUGUAAUCCGGGCCAAAACAUGCUCGAAAACGCCACUAGCUUGCAUGAAAAAAUCUGUUAAAGCUGCUGAGGAUGUAUUCUUGUUCCUCAAGGAACAAAGCGGUGGCGAAAAUAAUACUACUGAGCGUCAUGGUAUGAAGGUAGAGAUACACUCGAGAGAUGUAGCGAUUGGCGAUUGCGAUUGUGGUGACCAUUUAGAGGAGACAGAUGUUGGAGUACUGCUUGAUGUGAGUUUAGUGUUCGAGGACAAGUUUGAAUUCAAUUCAUGUUGGGUUGGGUCUGUCGCGAAAGGGGUUGUGCUUAUCUUCCCAUCUACUUUGGGAGGGUUUUCACGUCUCGUCUUCGUCUUCUACCUUCUCAUCAUCGAACGCGAGACGCAGAAAUUCGAGCCUGUUCAGUAUCCCUAGCGCCUCCGAUUUCAAUAACUCUGCAACUUAACUCCACUGAGCGGUAGAGAAGAAAGUUGGAGGAAGCAGAGAAGCUUGAUGGAGGAGGACGGAGAAGAAGCUUCACGAGGUGGAGGAGGCUGGACGAACAGACAGCGGAAGAGGCGGGAUGAAAAGGCGGAGGAGGAGGCAUGACGCUCAAGUUUGCCAGCGGUGGAGAGUUCAACAAGAAGAUGGCGGCCUCUUGAUUAGAGUGAUGAGAGGACGAGAUCUUUGUAGAUGCAGUUUUGAGUGAUGAGGUCUGACACGGAGGCCAAGCCGUGGACGUUAAUGGCAGCAUAGAAGCUGGAGACAGCUUCAGAGUUCAGACACAGAUGUGGGAGCUGUUCGGGACGCAAUGUCGAUGGCUGUCUCCCACCACGCAGCUGAUUUUGCAGACGGACUACAAGAUGUGAACAAUUGCCACCGAGUGACGGUUGUUGGUUUCAAACUAUUGCCAGAAAGGUUUAUUCUUUGGACUGGACACCUGAGAUGAACCAGAUUGUCAGUGCAUCUCAACAAGACACGCUCAGUUAGAAGAGAAAAGUGAUGGAAAAGGGAAAGACACAACCAAAGGGCCAAUUGAUAAAGUGCUGAAAAUGCAAUCGUUUAGAUCUUGAAAAGAUACUGAAAAUGUGGGAGAUUGGCACAUUUCUCCAUUAGAGUUACUCCACAGUGGUCCUUUGCUUGAUUUUGAUCUUCUUCCAGGAUGUUGUUCUUCAAUGGCUGCCUUGAGUUUACCGUCUCUACCAAAUGUCCUUAUCUCAGACACUUGUGGAGAAGCUUAUGGUCUCUGUCAAAGCUGCAGAGCCUUUUCCUUCAAUCGUUGCAGCAUCUAAAACUAUUGCAGUGGUUUCAUCUGGAUUGUGUGGAGAUCACGGAGAUGCCAUACAUUUGACAACAAUAAUGCUAUCGAUAUCAAUGAACAUAAAAUUUUCUCCAACUCUCUCUUUUUCAUGUUACCACCACUCCAUUAUAAGAAGCUAUCUAGAGAUUUUUUUUUUCUGCCAACAGCUAUCUAGAGAUUUCAUACUUCAUAAUAACUUUAAAAAUUGAAAAAUAAUCUACAUUUUCAUCUUUUUAGUAUC